UUGGAGGGCAAGUCUGGUGCCAGCAGCCGCGGUAAUUCCAGCUCCAAUAGCGUAUAUUAAAGUUGUUGCAGUUAAAAAGCUCGUAGUUGAAUUUCGGGAUCAGUACGUUGGUCGUGCCUUAGGUACGUACUGGUGUUACUGGUUUCUACCUUCUGACGAACCAUCAUGUCAUCAAUUUGGUGUGGCGGGGAAUCAGGACUGUUACUUUGAAAAAAUUAGAGUGUUUAAAGCAGGCUCGCGCUUGAAUACAUUAGCAUGGAAUAAUGAAAUAGGACGUUGAUCCUAUUUUGUUGGUUUCUAGGAUUGACGUAAUGAUUAAUAGGGAUAGUUGGGGGCAUUAGUAUACAAUUGUCAGAGGUGAAAUUCUUGGAUUUAUUGAAGACUAACUACUGCGAAAGCAUUAGCCCAAGGAUGUUUUCAUUAAUCAAGAACGAAAGUUAGGGGAUCGAAGACGAUCAGAUACCGUCGUAGUCUUAACCAUAAACUAUGCCGACUAGGGAUCGGAUGAUGUUAAUUUUUUAAUGACUCAUUCGGCGCCUUACGGGAAAC
rnacentral:rRNA from 1 species